rnacentral:rRNA from 1 species
UACGUAGGGGGCAAGCGUUGUCCGGAAUUAUUGGGCGUAAAGAGCGUGUAGGCGGUCCGGUAAGUCAGCUGUGAAAGUCAAGGGCUCAACCCUUGAAUGCCGGUUGAUACUGUCGGGCUAGAGUCCGGAAGAGGCGAGUGGAAUUCCCGGUGUAGCGGUGAAAUGCGCAGAUAUCGGGAGGAACACCAGUGGCGAAGGCGACUACCUGGCCUGUUCUUGACGCUGAGGCGCGAAAGCUGGGGGAGCAAACGGG